rnacentral:lncRNA from 1 species
CCGCCGGGUUUGUGUCUCUCCUUUAUCCUUAGCUUGCUAAGGCUUUGAGGCUCAUGUCUAGUCUAUCCUGUCCCUGCUGAGACUCCACGGAUCCUUGAGUCUCCAUGCCUCGACACCCCUGUUCUGGACUGCAUCUCCCUGCAGAAGGCGCUGGGAAAGGCCCACCAGAGUCUGGCAGCUUCUCACCUCCUCCCCAGAGAGAUGAAAUCCCUAGACUUGGCAGGUAUUUCUGGAUCCUGAGGCUAGCCUCUGGGACCAGCCAAACCAGGGGCCUUAAUUUAGCUGGGCUUCCAUUUUUCCAUAGGAACAGUGGGCAUAUUUGGAAGAACAGUCAUCAGCAGGGUGGGUCAAGGGGCUUUUGCCCUGAAAGGAGGAAGAUGCCCUUUAAUCAGAGCCUAUUACAUGCCUGGUCCAGUGGUGAACAAUUUGUUCUGAUUAAUUAAAAAAAAAAAAAAACUCACACUUGCAUAAGGGUAAAAAUUAUCACCCUAGGUUAUAGGUUAGGAAAUGAGAGUCUGACAUUCUCAGGGUGUUCUCAAAGCCAUUAUGGGCAGACCUAGGGCUGGAUGUUCCAGGUGACAGGGUCCUGUCCAGGCCUCUCCACAGAAACUGUUCUCUGGGAAACACUUGACUGUUAGCCCAGUAAGGUUUUCCACUGGCAGGGCUUUCCAGGAGAGGUGAAUAGGGUCAGAUCUUGAGUUCUUUCCAGACCCCAAGUUCUUGUGGUGCCAAAAAUACCAGAGAAAAGCAGGGCCUAAGACUAACUCUGGGACUCGGCAUCCCUUGGACAGCAGAGGCAGCCCAGGCUUCCCUCUAGAUCUCAGAGCAGCUAGGCAUAAGUGAGGGUUGACACUUGGUCAGGGGACCUCACGAUUCCUGUGACCAGCCUAAGGUCUUUAACACUAAGUGCAGUGGAAGUGUCUUCACCAGUACCCACCCCUCCCCCUC